AUUGAACGCUGGCGGCAGGCCUAACACAUGCAAGUCGAGCGGAUGAAGGGAGCUUGCUCCUGGAUUCAGCGGCGGACGGGUGAGUAAUGCCUAGGAAUCUGCCUGGUAGUGGGGGAUAACGUCCGGAAACGGGCGCUAAUACCGCAUACGUCCUGAGGGAGAAAGUGUGGGAUCUUCGGACCUCACGCUAUCAGAUGAGCCUAGGUCGGAUUUGCUAGUUGGUGGGGUAAAGGCCUACCAAGGCGACGAUCCGUAACUGGUCUGCGAGGAUGAUCAGUCACACUGGAACUGAGACACGGUCCAGAAUCCUACGGGAGGCAGCAGUGGGGAAUAUUGGACAAUGGGCGAAAGCCUGAUCCAGCCAUGCCGCGUGUGUGAAGAAGGUCUUCGGAUUGUAAAGCACUUUAAGUUGGGAGGAAGGGCAGUAAGUUAAUACCUUGCUGUUUUGACGUUACCAACAGAAUAAGCACCGGCUAACUUCGUG
rnacentral:rRNA from 1 species